rnacentral:rRNA from 1 species
GAUGAACGCUGGCGGCGUGCCUAAUACAUGCCAGUCGAGCGAACGGACGAGAAGUUUGCUCCCCUGAUGUUAGCGGCGGACGGGUGAGUAACACGUGGAUAACCUACCUAUAAGACUGGGAUAACUUCGGGAAACCGGAGCUAAUACCGGAUGAUAUUUUGAACCGCAUGGUUCAAAAGUGAAAGACGGUCUUGCUGUCACUUAUAGAUGGAUCCGCGCUGCAUUAGCUAGUUGGUAAGGUAACGGCUUACCAAGGCAACGAUGCAUAGCCGACCCGAGGGGGAGGACCGCCACACUGGAACUGAGGAACGGUCCCGACUCCGGCAGGGGGAAACAGUAGGGAAUCCUACGGGAGGGGGGAGAGGCGAACAGUGGAACGCCGGGGGAAUGAUGAAGGAGCUCGGAUGGGUAAACGCUGAUAGUCGGGGGGUAGAAAAGUUCUAGUAACUGUGCACAUCUUGACGGUACCGAAACAGAAAGCCACGGCUAACUACGUG